AUUUAAUCGUCUCCCCGGGGAGAUUCGUUCUCAUUUUUCUACUGCUCGUGAUGUUCAGCCCACAAGAGCUUACUGGUGAAGGAAUGGGACAAGACCCAUCUUUAUGCAAAGCCAGCGUUACAGUAAUGUUCCAGGUAUUCCUGAUGACAGUCUGCCUCUAUCUUACAGAGCAGCUUGUUGCUAUAUACCAUUGAAAAGCCUUCAGAGCUGAGAGGUACUACUAACCAAUAACCUGCUUGGCUCAAAGGGCCAGCACCUUCUCUCUAAAGCCCAAGAGGAGUUUGAGGAAAACUAGGUGUCUGUGUUCACUCCAGGCUGAAGUUACAGGUCUGAGCAAAUAAGGUGUAUAAAAAAUGGAAUCUGUCUUGGAGGACAUCAGAAGGUGAAUUUUCCAAGUUCUUGGACAACCUAGCUGUUGAAAAGCUUUCUGGGUUUGGGGGGUAUUUCAGAUGUACCUUAAAGUGUUAGCAGACACAGAUUAAGACACUGGGAGCCAAUGAAACAGCAGUUGAGGGUUUGCUGUGUAUCACAUUUCUGUAUUUUAUCACCCCCUUCCUGCAACAUUAUUUAUCUGGAAUCUACCUGCCCUUUUGUUUUUUAGAUACAAGGGCUUGGUUUUGUUACCCAGGCUGGUUUCAAGGCCAUAGCUUUAAGAGAUCCUCUCACCACAGAUUUCCAAAGUGCUGGGAUUGCAGGUGUGAUUCAUGGCACCCAGACUUUGCUGCCUUUCUUACAUGAUCCAGGCCCAGAACCCAAACUCAGGCACUGUAUAGAUGACCA
rnacentral:lncRNA from 1 species